CGGGCGGGUGCCGGGGGCGGAAGCGCGGCCACGGGAGGGGGCGAUUCACCGCCGCCCCCCGUGGGGCGUGGGUCCUCUACGCGGGACCGCGGGGGCCCCGAGCCGCGGGUUUGGCAAGGUCGCCCGCUCCGGGUCGCCCGGAAGGGUCAUUUCACGGACCGGUCGUCUGGGGCCAGCGCGUCUUGCCCCCCCAACGGAAGACCCUUCGCUUCGAGGACACGAAAGCCUUUAAAGUGAGGAUUGGCUCGCCGCGCCUCCCGCAGAGGGGAACGCCGCCCGGACCCGCGCUCCUGGGGUGGGGGCCUCGUAUGCCGGCGUUGCCGGAGCGUCUGCGGCGCUGAAGGCUGCCGAGACCCAGCCGCAACCCCCACAAGCCAGCAGCCCGGCAGAAAAUUACAUAAAAUGCAGCGCUUCGCCGAGGGGGUGCGAGUCGGGGGAGCAGCGCGCAGCUGCAGCUGACGGCUCGGCCGGAUCCGUCCAAGCAUGGACAGGAAAACGGGACUGCGGGGAGAGGGCGGUGCAGACGGGCCGUAGACCCUCCUUAGGAAGAGAAGGCGGAAACUAGGGAGCCAUGUGCAGUUAGAAUCCUCUUGGAAGACUAGUAGGAUGUGAGGUUGGAGAGGUGGACGACGACCAGAAAAUUCCCUUGUCUUGCCAGGCUUCUGACCUAACUAUGAGUUUCCUCCGCGCAUCCAGCCUGCCCUGCUCUGGCCCCUAAAGUACAGCAGUAACACUCAGUGGUGUCCCUGCCUUCCUGGAAUGCGCGUUAACAUUCUGAUUCUUACUCAUGGCAAUAACCUACACACCACAUAGAGGUUAAAUGUGGUUCGGGUCAGACUCUAGGGCAGGACUCACUGCCAGCACCUUGUCUUGGCUCCACCAGCUUGACCUUGAGCAAGUCACAACCUGUGGGUCUCAGUUUUCCUUACCUGUAAACCGUAGAUAAUUCCACAUUAGUAAACAGAUAAUAUUUGUGCCUGUCUCAAAGUUGUGAGGGUUUAAUGAAUUAAUGUGUUCCUGGCAUACAGUAA
rnacentral:antisense_RNA from 1 species